rnacentral:misc_RNA from 1 species
GGGCAACAGUUCAACAACUUUUUCCUACUAGUCGGGUGUUGUUACAUUUGGUGGUGCUGCGCGGGCGUCUGUUUUCAUAGAUUCACGACAACAACAACAACAUACGACGACAACAACAAGAAAGUGUGUGAUUGCAGAACAUUCCGGCCAUUUAUCGAAUCCAUUUAGCGACGUUUAACAACAACAACAACAACCAAAUAUGCUGGUAGUAGUGGACAACAACAUUGUGAGUGCUGCUGCCAACAUGAUGGAUGGAACAGCUGAGGAACAGAAUCUGACGGGAGAAUUAUCAAGGAGCGACGCCCUGUCGACUCGUCCGUCAGUGGCCGUCUCGCGGGCCGUUCAACAACUUUUGGAGCGACACGGCCUGGCUGGAGUCGGCCGUCCUUCGACUGUUAAUAACGGGAACGUGACGGUCGGAGCGUUCGUUCAAGUCAACAACAACAACAACACCAACUGUUUGUUGUUGCAACCUCCUGAUGUCGCCGUCGGCGCCGGUGUCGAGUCAGAAUCCGAUUUGGACUCGGAUUCCGAGCCGCGGUUCAGACCCGAUCCGAUCGGAGGCAACCGGCACAGCAACAGUCUCGAUGCCGGCUGUCAUCCGGCCAUGAUGGACGACGACCAGGUCGACUUGAACGGCAACAGCCAACAACAAGAGGAGCAGCAGCAGCAGCAGCAACAACAAGGAGCCGAUGCUGAGACGGAAGAAUUAUCGAAAUUACGAUGUCAGAGCGUGCGGACGGAAGUGCUGGCGGAGAAAUUCCGGCGUAAGAAUCGAUGCGCCGAUUACCCGGGAUUCGGUUUCGCUUCGUCCGUUUUCAGUUCGGACACGAUGAUGAAAUUCAACAUAAUCAAAAACGAAUUGCACAAUAUCAUGAAUAAUCAGCUUAAACGGGCUGAAGGAGAAGUCGCUGGCCUCAACCGUCGCGUCCAGCUGCUCGAGGAAGAUUUGGAGCGCAGUGAGGAGCGUUUGAACACCGCCACCACCAAGUUGGCCGAAGCCUCUCACUCAGCUGAUGAAUCAGAACGUAUGCGCAAGGUGUUGGAGAACCGCAGCCUCUCCGAUGAGGAGCGCAUGGACGCGUUGGAAAAUCAGUUGAAAGAAGCCCGCUUCCUGGCUGAAGAGGCUGAUAGGAAGUACGACGAGGUGGCCCGUAAGCUGGCCAUGGUUGAGGCGGAUUUGGAGCGUGCUGAAGAGCGCGCCGAAACCGGUGAAACGAAAAUCGUGGAGCUUGAAGAAGAGUUGCGUGUCGUCGGUAACAACCUCAAGUCCCUGGAAGUGUCCGAAGAGAAGGCCACUGCCCGGGAAGAAUCGUACGAACUUCAAAUCAAGACACUCUCCUCACGGCUUAAAGAGGCUGAAGCCCGCGCCGAAUUCGCCGAACGUUCAGUGCAGAAAUUGCAGAAGGAAGUCGACCGACUGGAGGACGAGUUGGUGCACGAGAAGGAGAAGUACAAGUCAAUCACAGACGAUUUGGACCAGACUUUCUCAGAACUCUCGGCGUACUAGAGAUAUCAACAACGCUACUGCUCCCUCUACCACUACUACUAUUCACUUUAGACGAACUGGUCCACGAGAAGGAGAAAUACAAAUCGAUUGCCGACGAAAUGGACACCACUUUCGUAGAAUUGGCUGGCUAUUAAAGAACACCAACCAUGCAAAAGAAAAAGAAAAACACCAGAGAUUCUUUAUAAAUUAUAUACCCGCACACCUUCCCUCUGAUGUCCUCUUCUCUUAUACACAACAAGAACAACUGAAAAACACUACAAGAACAUUGAGCAGCCACACACAUGUACACCAAUUACACACACCUACACAAUCAAGACACGAGACACACUUUUGUUCUAAUCGAUUGGCCCAAUGUAUUUUUUCCGAUUCUCUACUCCUUCCCCGCCACAUCUCUUCUUCACUUCCUCUUCUUUAUAACCUCUAUUGGUUUUAAUCUUUUUUGCGUAAAAAAAAACACGCCAUUUUUUCCUUUUUCUCUGUCAUCUUUGGCUUUUUUUCACAUGUUGGCUCUAUUAGAGUUGAUAUCCUUCUCUCCGUUCUCUCUUUGGCCUUCUUUUUUUUCUUUGUUGUCGAACUGGAAAUACCAACACUAAUUGGAUUGUUGAAA